UGUGCCCUACGGGGCGUAGCAGUGAGGAAUAUUGGUCAAUGGACGCAAGUCUGAACCAGCCAAGUCGCGUGAGGGAAGACGGUCCUAUGGAUUGUAAACCUCUUUUGUCGGGGAGCAAAAGACGCCACGCGUGGCGUUCCGAGAGUACCCGAAGAAAAAGCAUCGGCUAACUCCGUGCCAGCAGCCGCGGUAAUACGGAGGAUGCGAGCGUUAUCCGGAUUUAUUGGGUUUAAAGGGUGCGCAGGCGGAAGAUCAAGUCAGCGGUAAAAUUGAGAGGCUCAACCUCUUCGAGCCGUUGAAACUGG
rnacentral:rRNA from 1 species